rnacentral:rRNA from 1 species
AGCAGCAGCCGCGGUAAUACGUAGGGUCCGAGCGUUGUCCGGAAUUAUUGGGCGUAAAGGGCUCGUAGGCGGUUUGUUGCGUCGGGAGUGAAAACCAGGGGCUUAACUUCUGGCUUGCUUUCGAUACGGGCAGACUUGAGGCAUUCAGGGGAGAACGGAAUUCCUGGUGUAGCGGUGAAAUGCGCAGAUAUCAGGAGGAACACCGGUGGCGAAGGCGGUUCUCUGGGAAUGUUCUGACGCUGAGGAGCGAAAGUGUGGGGAGCGAACAGGAUUAGAGACCCCCGUAGUCCCUGUCUCUUAUAC